rnacentral:lncRNA from 1 species
CCAAAAGGUAGCUCAAUAACAAGCGUGCUUCCAGGGGUCCGUACUUCGUCGAACUCGGUGGGGACUUCCUUCGAACGGUAGGUAAUGAAUGCUUGCUUUAAAUUCUUAGACGAUUGCAUGGCCGAUUACCUGCUAAAGUUUUUCAUUGUUUUGAGAUCAAUUUUAUUUUAUUCUGACAAGUUUGUGGGUUUGAUUCGAGAUAGAGUUGGUAAAAUACGAUGUCUGAUGCAAUCGAGCCUGUGAUUCAUAUCAUCUGUUAUUCUUUAUUCUAUUAGGAUAUGGUGGUUCUUCUGGUGGGUUUCCCCUUCUUGCAUCAGAAAAAAACUUCCCGUUGAAGCUUAUGGCUUGGUUAUUUGUGAUUCAUGAGAUUUUGAAUGCAUUUCAAGGAUGAAGUGUGAUCAUCGUGG